AGAGUUUGAUCAUGGCUCAGGACGAACGUUGGCGGCGUGCUUAAUACAUGCAAGUCAACUGAAGCACCGGUAGCAAUACUGGUGUGGAGGUGGCGCACGGGUGAGUAACACGUAGGUAAUCUGCCUAAAGGUCUGACAUAACUCCGGGAAACCGGGGCUAAUAUCAGAUGAUGCAGCGGCUCGACAUCGAGACAGUUGUUAAACCUUCGGGGCCUUUAGAUGAGCCUGCGCCUGAUUAGCUAGUUGGCGGAGUAAUAGCCCACCAAGGCAACGAUCAGUAGCUGGUCUGAGAGGAUGAUCAGCCACACUGGAACUGAGAUACGGUCCAGACUCCUACGGGAGGCAGCAGUAAGGAAUAUUGCUCAAUGGCCGAAAGGCUGAAGCAGCAACGCCGCGUGAGGGAUGAAGGGCUUUUGCUUGUAAACCUCUGUAACAGGGGAAAAAACCUCCACUCUGUGGAGUAUGAUGGUACCCUGAAAGUAAGCCUCGGCUAACUACGUGCCAGCAGCCGCGGUAAUAC
rnacentral:rRNA from 1 species